rnacentral:misc_RNA from 1 species
AAAGGGGGAGAGCUUGCUAACAACGUAAACAGCAUUAUGGUUCGCGUAAUCCGUCGAUCCUUCCUGGAGGAGGUGUCUGAGCGGCUACCUGUGUCGACCACGACACUGGUUGCCAUCGUAGUAGGUGCUGUGUCGCUGUACAUUUUCUACAGGCGAAAAGGGCCUGUGCAGCGGCCGCCGACCUCUGCAAGGCGGCCUCUGAGUGCACCCCGCGAUGCCGGCGAAACAUGUGAUGCAAUGAUGCGCAUAAAGCAGAAGGCGUUCGUUGGGAAGAAGAUCUGCAUCGCAUGGGAGGUUUUGUACGACGGCAAGGGCUGGAGAGCCCAGGGAAAAGCGCUGGAAAUUCUCCGGUUCUACGCGUUUUCCUCGGAGGUGUAUCUGAUGUGCCGCAUUCGUGAUGCCGACGACAAGAGGCAGAUCCUUAAUCUCGUCAAGGCAGUUGAUGGAAUCGAGCGUCAUCGCGUCCUCUUCUGCACCACGGAAAAGGGAUACGAAGCCUUCACGCGGCAGAUCGACCCGAGCCUCCUGAUCACAAACAAUGCAGCGCAGGUAGCGUUCUUGAAGCGCGUCAUUCAGACCUUAGUCCUCGUCGGCGGCGAUGGCGUUGUCGCGAGCAAUGUGGCGUGCGUGCCUUCUGUGGAAGCUAUUGCCGUCGACCUCGAGUGAUCGGCAGCAAUGAACAGUCAAAAAUGCAAUAAGACGCAAUGCAUCAAAGGUGGCUUUGCUUUCUCACUCUAUGUUUUUCUCUCCUUAUUAUACCAAAGGCACUUUUUCUUCUUUGUUGUUGUUGUCUGUGAUGUGUGUGAUGUGGAUACGUCCACUCCUCCAGCACGCGCUUUUGUGCAUUUAUG